CCUGACUAAAAGAAAUUGUAAUGCUUAAGGGAUGCCAGAGCCAGCAGGAGAGAGAAACUGGAAGGACACUAACUGGAAGGAAAGUAGAGUAGAAGAUGGCCCAAGUGCUUGGGCCCCUGCAGCCAUGUGGGAGACCAGAAGAAGC